AUUGAACGCUGGCGGCAUGCCUAACACAUGCAAGUCGAACGGUAACAGGCCCUUCGGGGUGCUGACGAGUGGCGGAUGGGUGAGUAAUACUUAGGAAUCUACCCUGUAGUGGGGGACAACCCGGGGAAACUCGGGCUAAUACCGCAUACGCUCUACGGAGGAAAGCGGGGGACCGCAAGGCCUCGCGCUAUUGGAUGAGCCUAAGCCCGAUUAGCUAGUUGGUGGGGUAAUAGCCUACCAAGGCAAUGAUCGGUAGCUGGUCUGAGAGGACGACCAGCCACACUGGGACUGAGACACGGCCCAGACUCCUACGGGAGGCAGCAGUGGGGAAUAUUGGACAAUGGGCGAAAGCCUGAUCCAGCGAUGCCGCGUGUGUGAAGAAGGCCUGCGGGUUGUAAAGCACUUUCAGUAGGGAAGAAAUGCUUGGAGCUAACACCGCCAAGUUUUGACGUUACCUACAGAAGAAGCACCGGCUAACUCCGUG
rnacentral:rRNA from 1 species